CCUAAGGAGAUCUUCCGAGUCCUGGAAUGGCUCUCGCGCUCCUCGCGAAUACGAUAGGGAACAAAAAAAAAAAAAAAAAAAAUUUUUUUUUCAACAUACUCAAAAUUUUAAGAGAAAAAAAAAUUUUUCCCAAAACAUUAAAUUUAGAAAAAGGAAUUGAAAAAAAAAAUGUUACAAGUGAGUAAUCCUAGGCAAAAAAAAGUGUUACAUAUAGAAAAAGGACAAAGCCUACUUCCGGGAUUGGUGUUUUUUUUUCGUUCUCCCCUCCUCGCUUCUGGAUAAAGAGAACGAAAAAAGAAAAAGUGUUUUUUCGUGAAUAAUAAAUUUUGCGUCAAUUUCUUUUCUUUUUUUUUUUUGCCAAUGAAGAUCGAAGAAGAAAGAGAGGAACGAGAAAGUUGUGCAAUCCGGGUUGCCGCGUGGGAGACCUGUCGCUUCAGAUGAGUCUCUGUGGAAGAUGCUGCCGGAGAAAUACUUAGACAUCAGAUGGUUUCAAUUUCUUCAUACAGAAUAUAUACAAAAUGGUGAAACGAGUGGAAAAUGAUUCAUAAAAUUAAUUGUCGUAAUUUCCAUAAACGCGUGAGUAGCGUAAAAUAUGUAAUAUGGAAUAUUUUUACAUUAGUAAUAGUUUAUUUGUGUGUUAAUAUAAUGUAAAUUAUAAUAAUUGACAUUCUCCAUCAUCAUGAUGAUAAUAAUCAUUUAAAAAUGAAUAUUAUAUAUAUAUAUAUUUUUUUUUUCUUCUUCAUCACUCUAAUUAUAACUUUUGCCAUAUUAAACGUAAGUACGAAAGAGAUUCAACAGACGUUCGAGUACUUUUAAAGAGUUCAUCUCCUUUUCUGAAAUGUUUCUGGUUUCUUUCAUGCGCGAUAAGAUAACUCUAAUACAGGCUACUUU